rnacentral:misc_RNA from 1 species
GUGAUUAAUAGAGUGUCUUCAUUGACCGCUCACCUUCUCACCAUCCAUAUCCACCUGUGCAAUGUUAGCCUGAGUCGGUCUUCGGUCAUGGUAUCGAUUCAUACAUCAACCUUAGUCUUAUGAACUCUUGUAAACGUAUUAUAAUAACAUUCAAAUA